rnacentral:lncRNA from 1 species
GGAGGCUACGGAGAACUUCAAGCUGGUGGGCUUCACCCGCUUCGUCCGGGCCAACCCCCGCAGCGACCGCUUCCCCGUUCUUGGCUUCCACCACGUCGAAUUCUGGGCCGCCGACGCCACCAACUCUGCCGGCCGCUUCUCCUUCGGCCUCGGGAUGCCCCUCGCCGCACGCUCCGAUCUCUCCACCGGUAAUCCCUUCUUCGCCUCCUACCUCCUCCGCUCCGCUUCCCUCCGCUUCCUCUUCUCCGCCCCCUAUGGCGGGCCGGCCGCCGCUGACGCCGCCGCUAACCCUGCCAACACCUCCCCCAUCCCCUCCUUCGACGCCGACCGUGCCCGUCGCUUCUCCGUCGACCACGGACUUGCGGUCCGAGCCAUCGCCGUCGAGGUCGCUGACGCUGCCGAAGCCUUCCGCAUCAGCGUCGCCCACGGCGCUCGCCCCUCCUUCCCCCCGGCCGACCUCGGCGAGGGGUUCGCGCUCGCCGAGGUCGAGCUGUACGGCGACGUAGUCCUUCGCUACGUUAGCCGCCCGAAGCCCCCACCGUUCCCCUCCGAAGCCCGCCAAACCCCCAUAAAGGUCCCAGCUUUCCUACCUGGAUUCGAGGAUAUUGACGAGUCCGAGACUUGUUCAUUCACCUACGGCAUCCGGCGGCUUGACCAUGCCGUCGGGAACGUCCCCGAACUCGCGCCAGCGGUGCGCUACAUU